GGCAGCACGGGAGCAUCCUGGUGGCGAGUGGCGAACGGGUGAGUAAUACAUCGGAACGUGCCCUGUAGUGGGGGAUAACUAGUCGAAAGACUAGCUAAUACCGCAUACGACCUGAGGGUGAAAGUGGGGGACCGCAAGGCCUCAUGCUAUAGGAGCGGCCGAUGUCUGAUUAGCUAGUUGGUGGGGUAAAGGCCUACCAAGGCGACGAUCAGUAGCUGGUCUGAGAGGACGAUCAGCCACACUGGGACUGAGACACGGCCCAGACUCCUGCGGGAGGCAGCAGUGGGGAAUUUUGGACAAUGGGGGCAACCCUGAUCCAGCAAUGCCGCGUGUGUGAAGAAGGCCUUCGGGUUGUAAAGCACUUUUGUCCGGGAAGAAAUCGCACCUGAUAAUACCGGGUGUGGAUGACGGUACCGGAAGAAUAAGGACCGGCUAACUACGUGCCAGCAGCCGCGGUAAUACGUAGGGUCCAAGCGUUAAUCGGAAUUACUGGGCGUAAAGCGUGCGCAGGCGGUUGUGCAAGACCGAUGUGAAAUCCCCGGGCUUAACCUGGGAAUUGCAUUGGUGACUGCACGGCUAGAGUGUGUCAGAGGGGGGUAGAAUUCCACGUGUAGCAGUGCAAUGCGUAGAGAUGUGGAGGAAUACCGAUGGCGAAGGCAGCCCCCUGGGAUAACACUGACGCUCAUGCACGAAAGCGUGGGGAGCAAACAGGAUUAGAUACCCUGGUAGUCCACGCCCUAAACGAUGUCAACUAGUUGUUGGGGAUUCAUUUCCUUAGUAACGUAGCUGACGCGUGAAGUUGACCGCCUGGGGAGUACGGUCGCACGAUUAAAACUCAAAUGAAUUGACGGGA
rnacentral:rRNA from 1 species